CCGUCACCACUAUGCUCCUUUAGCGUCCCUCGCACACUCGCGCGACACGUGAAACGAUACGACAUUGUUUCUUCUGUGCUUCACGCGGGGCUGCCAUGUUGUGUGUAUCAAUGUGCAUGGAGUAGUAGUAGUGAAGCUUGUGGCCCGCAGAUACGAGAUUGUAGAGCAGAGCGACAACGGGCCUCGCGGCGGGCAGAGGCAAAGCAACAGGCUAGGGGCAAUGCUACGCGGCAAAGCCAUGUGGUGGGGGGUCUCACAAGGAACUAAGAAAGGGGCCCUCGGGAGUGGGGCCUAGAACCCGCCGAUUGGUGUUUGCUCUGAGCUGAAAAUCGCUGCCCGCAUGAGCAAAAUGUUGAACAGCUCUGCUAUAAAGCAACUAUCGAGAGUUUUACUCUCAGAUGGAUACCCGCUCUAACAUAAAUGCCUUAUUUUUUAAUUUUGCGAUUAUUUAAAAUGAAAAAAAAGA